rnacentral:piRNA from 1 species
UGAGGUGCUGAGACCCUACUUGUCCCCCAAU